rnacentral:rRNA from 1 species
AUACGGGGGGUGCAAGCGUUAAUCGGAAUUACUGGGCGUAAAGCGCGCGUAGGCGGUUUGCUCAGUCGGAUGUGAAAGCCCAGGGCUCAACCUUGGAACUGCAUACGAUACGGGCAAACUAGAGUGUGAGAGAGGAUAGUGGAAUUUCCGGUGUAGCGGUGAAAUGCGUAGAUAUCGGAAGGAGCAUCAGUGGCGAAGGCGACUGUCUGGCUCAACACUGACGCUGAGGUGCGAAAGCGUGGGUAGCAAACAGGAUUAGAAACCCUAGUAGUCC